rnacentral:rRNA from 1 species
GUGCCAGCCGCUGCGGUAAUACGAAGGGGCUAGCGUUGUUCGGAUUUACUGGGCGUAAAGCGCGCGUAGGCGGGUCGUUAAGUCGAGGGUGAAAUCCUGGAGCUCAACUCCCAGAACUGCCUUCGAUACUGGCGACCUAGAGUCCGGAAGAGGUGAGUGGAACUCCUAGUGUAGAGGUGGAAUUCGUAGAUAUUAGGAAGAACACCAGUGGCGAAGGCGGCUCACUGGUCCGGUACUGACGCUGAGGUGCGAAAGCGUGGGAGCGAAACGAGGAUUAGGAUACCCUGGUAGUCCACGCCGUAAACUA